rnacentral:piRNA from 1 species
UUGAUCUCAUAGGGAAUUUUU